rnacentral:misc_RNA from 1 species
GAUGAAGAACGUAGCGAAAUGCGAUACGUAAUGUGAAUUGCAGAAUUCAGUGAAUCAUCGAAUCUUUGAACGCACAUUGCGCCUGCCAGCACUCUGGCAGGCAUGCCUGUUCGAGCGUCAUUUCAACCAUCAAGCUCUAGGCUUGCGUUGGAGCCCUGCGGCUGCCGCAGGCCCCUAAAAGCAGUGGCGGGCUCGCUAUCACACCGAGUGCAGUAGAUUACUCUUCGCUCAGGGCGUGUGGCGGGUUCCAGCCGUGAAACCCCCUACUUCUCAAGGUUGACCUCGGAUCAGGUAGGAAUACCCGCUGAACUUAAGCAUAUCAAUAAGCGGAGGA